CCCUCUCCCGCCUUUUCCUUUAGGCCUUGCAGGCGGAUGUUGUUGGGUCUUGAAUGAUUUGCAAUGUCUUCAAUGUGUAGUUCUGCAGCCUGAACCCGAGCAGUGAGGGAGUUCACUUGGGUAAUUGCCUCAUUGUGAGCCACUAUGGUAGUCUCCUUUCUCUGAUCCAGAGCUGCCGUCCAUGUGCCCAAGGAAUUAAGCUCUAUCUUUAGCUCUUUCGUCGAUCUAGUGAUCUUGUGGGCUAGGUAAGCGUGUACCUCAGCUAAU